AAAGUAGAGGAAGAUGGGCAUGGAUGUUAGCUCGAGGCCAGUCUUCCUCAGCAAAAAGAGGAGGAUUGGCAGUAGUUAGCUCAGGGCUAAUCUUCCUCAAAAAAAUUAAAAACAAAAUUCAAGGACUAGAUAAUUCUCAUGAUAAAGAAAUUGUUCUAGGACAAAGGACAGAGGAAACCAUAGAUUACAUAACAAUUCAAUUUAUAAGGCUAAGCCAGACACAAAGUUUAAAAAAGAUGUAUAGAUGAUGUUCAUUUACGUAUAUGUAUAUGUUAUGUAUAUGAAAACAAAAUUGUUUUUUAAAGCUUGGCCCUAGCCAACAUCUGUUGCCAAUCUUUUCUUUUUUCUUCUUCUUCUCUCCAAAGCCACCCACUACAUAGUUGUUUAUUCUAGUUGUAGGUCCUUCUAGUUCCUCUACGUGGGACACUGCCUCAGCACGGCUUGAUGAGCAGUGCUAAGUCUGUGCCCAGGAUCUGAACCAGCGAAACCCUGGACCACUGAAGCAGAGGUGAGAGUGUGUCUGGGUACCAAGGGUCCCAAUGCAGUGGACCAGCUGCUGAGCUCUUGAAUGUACCUUCAUCCCUGGAGACCAGAGUGGCUGAGAAUCCUGUUGGACAUCCAAGCAUCGUAAGCUGAGUGGUCACGCCACCCCCAACCUGAGGUGCCGAGAAGAGCCAGCCACACACAGCAAGUCUUAAACUGUUCGUUCUCAUUGAUCCAGCAAUCCUACUUCCGUGAAUUUAUCCCAAGGGAAUUAAUACAGAAACUAUAGAUUUGCUACAAGGAUUAUUUUUCUCAAAAUUUAUUUUUAUAACCAAAGAUCAGAGAUAACACAAAUAUCCCACAUGGGGAGAUUGAAUAAACCAAAUACAAUACAUCCAUAUAAUGAAAUAUAUUUCAGCCAUUAAAAGUAUGGUUAAAAAAAAAAACAACUAAUUUUUGACAUGGAAAGUUGCUAAAUGAAAGCAAGAGUUAAGUAGAAAAGAUUACCACACAGGGUUGUCAUCUAUUUGUCUCUUUCUAUCUGCUUGUCUAUCUAACUCCAAAUCCUAAAGUAUAAACACUAUUAGCAAUGGGAGACCUUGGCUAGUGGGAUUAUGGAGAUUUUUGUGCUUUUCCAUAUUCUUCAGGUUUUUCUGUCAUUUACAUGUGACUUUUGUAAUGGAC
rnacentral:lncRNA from 1 species